rnacentral:lncRNA from 1 species
ACAUCUGUGUUGAGAUAAUUUUCUACCCUUUGUGUUUAAUUUACCUCUAUUUUCAGGAUACCCUAUGAAUUCAGAAGAGAUACAGGACUAAGUCGAGAAAGAUUCAUUGGCUCUGAUCAAGGACGAGAUUCUGACAGACGAAAUAUUUCAGCUCAUGAUAGAUUAGGCCGAGUGAGAAGUUCUCCUGUUGGUGGACCUGACCAGAGACCUUGGGGUUCCAGCAGUGUAGAUAGGAAAGUGGACAACUGGUCCCACAUGCAUGGAAACAUUGGCAACAGCAGCAUGAACCGAUCCAAUGGCCGGUGGCUUGGGGAGUCCAUGAACACAACUGGCCGUAAUGCCACAGGAGCAUUUGCUGACAAUGGUAGACCCGGUAACAAUGAAGGGAUGGGGCAGAACUUGAGACCUGGUAACAUGUUUAGCAGCUCUCAGUCACAGGGUGGGAUGAUGAUGAAUACGCAUGGUGGUGGUAAUUUUGGUGGUAAUAACAUGGGUGGUCGAAUGCAAGAGCCUUGUUUUGAUGCUUAAAAGAUUGAGGCUUGUGUGAAACUCAAACUGAGGACUUUGUUACAGUUGGAGAUGGAAGUCAGAGCAGGGUGUUUGUCUCGGAAGAGCAGAUGGAAUUUGAGACACAGAAUAAAACCUUCCUUUACUGUCACAUAUUCUCCAUUCCAGUUGUUAUUUUCUCUUCAGUUCUUGGACAUCUCAUCAUUCUUUCUGUUUAUAUUUAUCAUAUUUAACAUAUAACACAUACACACACACACCACGCAUACACUGUCUUCUCUAUAUCACAAUCUCUACCCACUAUUUUUACUGUCUUAAUGUAUUUAUUUCCUAUGUAUGUGUUGCUAUAUUUUAUUUCCUAACAUUCUUCCUCCUCCUUCAUGCAGUUGAAUGUAAUAAAUGAGAGAGAAGUGAGUGGAAGAGAGAACAAAUAGACUGUAUUGAUGAAAGUGGGGGAGCAGGAAAGAAGAGCAACAACAGACUGUUAUAACAAAGUACAAGAGACCACAUAGAAUGUAAUAUAUGGAGAAAUAAAUUUUAUUUGCUGUAAAAUAUAUAAA